rnacentral:lncRNA from 1 species
GAGCGCGGCGGCGACGGCGCCGAGCAGCUGCGCGGCCCAGUAGACGAGGGAGCGGACGAGGCAGAUCCGGCCGGCGAGCAGCGCGCCGAAGGUGACGGCCGGGUUGACGUGGCCGCCGGAGAUGUUGGCGGCGCACCCCACUGCGGCCGCGAGCGCGAGGGCGUGCGCGAGCGCCACCGCCACCAGGCCGCCGCCGCCCUUGUCAUGGUGGUGCAUCCUCCCUGCGCGCGCGCGGCACCGGUGCACACGUUUACGACGUACGACGAGUGAGGAGACACGCGCGACGACAAGCACACAGCAUGCACCGUUAAUUUAUACACAGUAUAUAUAUAACGUAAGUAGGUAGGUACGUACCGAGAGAGAGCGUGGCACCCUCGGCGGCGAAGACGAAGAUGGCGGUGGCGAGGAGUUCGGCGGCCGCGUGGCGCAGCGUGGCGGGGUCUUUGGCCGUAGCCAG